rnacentral:lncRNA from 1 species
AGCAGCCGCUCCCACACGACGUUGGUGAAGAAUAUGAGGACGGAAGUUGGACGGCGCCGCUCCCACGCGACGAUCGCCGCCGGAUUCCAAACGGGCGUGACAGCAGCGGCGAUGAUUUCCAGAGUGGGACUCGACUGAGAUCUGCGUGAGAAAGAAAGAAGGAGGAGAGGUCGCCGGGGUUCGACGCGUCGGCAAACGAUGGCUGAACAGCCGGAGAAGCGAAGCCGGCCAGAUUCCAGCCGGAGAAGAAGAAGACAGCUCGAUUGAUUUUGAGAAGAAGGGGGCGAGCGGCUCCUUCCGAAGGAGAGAGGCGAGAUUUGAUUUUGAGA